AUGGGAUGUGACAGGAUCAAUGUGUGCUCAGAGUAGCUGCAGUUUAGCCCAUGGGAAUACAGCCAAAGAUCUGAGGAGGAGAAGGAGAAACACGACAAAAGACUGCCUGUUGCUGAUCACACAAUUCUUUACUAGGGUAUGAAAACAUUAUCACAGGAGUAAACAAUCCUUCAGGCUCAAUUUAAUCAUUCAACACCCAUGCCAGCCCAAAGGAGAUCCCUACUCACUGUAAUUAUUACAUCUGAAGGAUGAGAAGCCUCAACAUCUAAAGAUUUUAAUCUCUGGGAUAAAGUUUGAUACCCGAUAGAACCUCUUUCAAACAGGCACCAAGGCACAUCUGUGAAAACAGUGGUGGCCAAUACAUCAUGUAUUGAGAUCCGUUUUGGUGGAUCUCUAUAGGCUCUGCAAUCCACCAGCAAUAAAGCAACACAACAAAGCUGAGCCUCGAGAUUUUGACCAGAAAGCUUCCCGCGCUUUUUUGACUUCAAGGUCGGUCAGUGCUGAAAACAUAAUGGCAAAUUCCAGCUCCCACCUUUCACUGAUGUUGGUGACAGCUUCUCCUUCUUUGAAACAGCUGGGAUAUUUUCGUCCAAAUUGGUACUGCUGGAAGCCACAGAAGGUUCUCCCCCACCUUUUGUAACUCGCACCACAAUGCGAUCCAUUGAAACCACCAAACACAAACUAGCAACUGUACGAGCCAACGAGCUGAGGAAGCUUGUUGCUCGAGUGACUGAGGCAUGGAAGCCAGAGUAUUGCUAUUAGCACCAUCUACUGUUUGGAAUGAAUGUCCUUUUUCUUUGUACGUAUUCAUAGUCAGGAAAUAUAUUUUUAAAUACGCAAUCAACCCUGUUAAAACUAUUCUAUGUUUAUGUGUUGAUGUUUGUUACAACUUGGGCCAAGAUCCACCAAAAAUCUUUUGAGAUCCACUAGUGGAUCACGAUCCAUGUAUUGGCCACCACUGCAUUAGAAGUUGGGUUGGACAGCGUGGUACCCAGGUACGGUAUAGGAAGAUGCAUAGGUAUCCCAAAUUGGAAUUAGUAAUUACAACAGCAAACAAUUACAAACUGAUCCACACUCCAGAGCCACCAAGCCUCCCAAGGCUCUUGUGUUUGCAGAAGAGAUUUAAGAGCAUUAUCCUCCUUUCCAACUGUGUAAAAAAAAAUUGCUCAGCCUGUGCCUCAAAACUUAAUUAAAUAUUUGCAUUCAGAGUUUUUUUUUUUAUUGGACCCAUUGCUCUUUUUUUUUACAUUAAAUCUUUUAGCUUUGCUAGUCUGUUAUAUCAGUGGGGCCCCAACUUCCCUGAUAAUGAAAAUAGGGAGGAAAGGGUGGUUGACUGUAUUUGCAUGGUAUAUUGAGCUUUUGUAGCCCAUCACCAGGAUUUCAUUGCAGUUGUAACUGGCUAUAAAAGGCAAUACCAUAGAUGCAAAAUACAAAACCUUGUUUCCGCUAUUUGUGUAUGUGCUGCUUUUACAUGUAUAAGGCAAUACAACAGCUUACACAGAGGGAGGGAAUGUAACUGAUAGUAUCAAAAAUAAGCCUUAAUUGAGAUCAAUCUGUACACAAGAAGAAAGAUCAAGCAGAUUUAUUUUUACAAACUCCAACUUUGGGAAUAAUUGUGAAGGAAUUAAUUUGAA